UCCGGUUGAUCCUGCCAGAGGCCACUGCUAUCAGCGUCCGACUAAGCCAUGCGAGUCGUGGGCACCCCCUCUUAUGAGGGGGAGACCCGGCGGACGGCUCAGUAACACGUGGCUAACCUACCCUCGGGUCCGGGAUAACCCCGGGAAACUGGGGAUAAUACCGGAUAGGCCUCUGAUACCUGGAAUGGGCGGAGGCCGAAAGCCGGUAGGCGCCCGAGGAUGGGGCUGCGGCCGAUUAGGUAGUUGUCGGUUUAACGGACCGACAAGCCUACGAUCGGUACGGGCCGUGAGAGCGGGAGCCCGGAGAUGGGCUCUGAGACAAGAGCCCAGGCCCUACGGGGCGCAGCAGGCGCGAAACCUUCACAAUGCCCGAAAGGGCGAUGAGGGGACGCUGAGUGCCCUUCGGGGCUGUUCGGGUGCCUAAAAAGCACCCGGAGUAAGGGCUGGGUAAGACCGGUGCCAGCCGCCGCGGUAAUACCGGCAGCCCGAGUGGUGGCCGCGUUUAUUGGGCCUAAAGGGUCCGUAGCCGGUCGGGUAAGUUCCUCGGGAAACCUCGCCGCUCAACGGUGAGGCUUCCGGGGAAUACUGCCUGACUUGGGACCGGGAGGGGCCGGAGGUACUCCCGGGGUAGGGGUGAAAUCCGUUGAUCCCGGGAGGACCACCCGUAGCGAAGGCGUCCGGCUGGAACGGGUCCGACGGUGAGGGACGAAGGCCAGGGGCGCGAACCGGAUUAGAUACCCGGGUAGUCCUGGCUGUAAACGAUGCGGGCUUUGCGUCGGCACUGCCACGAGUGGUGCCGGUGUUGAAGGGAAGCCGUUAAGCCCGCCGCCUGGGGAGUACGGGCGCAAGCCUGAAACUUAAAGGAAUUGGCGGGGGAGCACUACAACGGGUGGAGCCUGCGGUUUAAUUGGAUUCAACGCCGGGAAGCUUACCGGGGGAGACAGCGAGAUGAAGGUCGGGCUGAAGACCCUGCCGGAUUAGCUGAGAGGUGGUGCAUGGCCGUCGUCAGCUCGUACUGUGAAGCCUCCUGUUAAGUCAGGCAACGAGCGAGACCCGCGCCCGCAGUUGCCAGCAUCUCCGCAAGGAGGAUGGGCACUCUGCGGGGACUGCCGCCGCUAAGGCGGAGGAAGGGGCGGGCGACGGUAGGUCAGUAUGCCCCGAAUCCCCCGGGCUACACGCGUGCUACAAUGGGCGGUACAAUGGGUAUCCGACCCCGAGAGGGGGAGGUAAUCCCCUAAAACCGCCCGUGGUCGGGAUCGAGGGCUGAAACCCGCCCUCGUGAACGCGGAACCCGUAGUAAUCGCCUCUCAAAAUGAGGCGGUGAAUAAGUCCCUGCUCCUUGCACACACCGCCCGUCAAGCCAACCGAGUGAGGUUCGGGUGAGGGUCUCUCCUCUGGGGAGAUUCGAACCCGAGCCUCGCGAGGGGGGCUAAGUCGUAACAAGGUAGCC
rnacentral:rRNA from 1 species